GACGAACGCUGGCGGCGUGCUUAACACAUGCAAGUCGAACGGAAAGACCCUGCUUUUGUGGGGUGCUCGAGUGGCGAACGGGUGAGUAACACGUGAGUAACCUGCCCUUGACUUUGGGAUAACUUCAGGAAACUGGGGCUAAUACCGGAUAGGAGCUCCUGCUGCAUGGUGGGGGUUGGAAAGUUUCGGCGGUUGGGGAUGGACUCGCGGCUUAUCAGCUUGUUGGUGGGGUAGUGGCUUACCAAGGCUUUGACGGGUAGCCGGCCUGAGAGGGUGACCGGCCACAUUGGGACUGAGAGACGGCCCAGACUCCUACGUGGGGCAGCAGUGGGGAAUAUUGCACAAUGGGCGGAAGCCUGAUGCAGCAACGCCGCGUGCGGGAUGACGGCCUUCGGGUUGUAAACCGCUUUCGCUUGUGACGAAGCGUGAGUGACGGUAAUGGGUAAAGAAGCACCGGCUAACUACGUG
rnacentral:rRNA from 1 species